AGAGUUUGAUCAUGGCUCAGGAUGAACGCUAGCGAUAGGCUUAACACAUGCAAGUCGAGGGGCAGCAUUAUUUUAGCUUGCUAAGAUAGAUGGCGACCGGCGGAUGGGUGCGUAACGCGUAUGCAACUUGCCUCUGAGCGGGGGAUAACCCGGAGAAAUUCGGACUAAUACCGCAUAUACUUUUAGAGUCGCAUGGCUCGGAAAGGAAAGAUUUAUUACUCAGAGAUAGGCAUGCGUUCCAUUAGGUAGUUGGUGAGGCAACGGCUCACCAAGCCGACGAUGGAUAGGGGAGCUGAGAGGCCGACCCCCCACACUGGGACUGAGACACGGCCCAGACUCCUACGGGAGGCAGCAGUGAGGAAUAUUGGUCAAUGGAGGAAACUCUGAACCAGCCAAGUCGCGUGAAGGAAGACGGUCCUAUGGAUUGUAAACUUCUUUAGUAGGUGAAUAGAAGCAUGUACGUGUACGUGUAGGCAUGUAACCUAAGAAUAAGUAUCGGCUAACUCCGUGCCAGCAGCCGCGGUAAUACGGAGGAUACGAGCGUUAUCCGGAUUUAUUGGGUUUAAAGGGUGCGUAGGUUGCUGAUUAAGUCAGCGGUGAAAAGCUGUGGCUCAACCAUAGUCUUGCCGUUGAAACUGGUUAGCUAGAGUACAGAUGCUGUGGGCGGAAUGCGUAGUGUAGCGGUGAAAUGCAUAGAUAUUACGCAGAACUCCGAUUGCGAAGGCAGCUCACAAAACUGUAACUGACACUGAUGCACGAAAGCGUGGGGAUCAAACAGGAUUAGAUACCCUGGUAGUCCACGCCGUAAACUAUGAUUACUCAGAGUACGCGAUAUAGUGUAUGCUCUCAAGCGAAAGCGAUAAGUAAUCCACCUGG
rnacentral:rRNA from 1 species